UUUGGGAUAAGCCUCGGAAACGGGGUCUAAUACCGGAUAAUAUCGGCCGCCUCAUGGUGGUUGGUUGAAAGUUCUGGCGGUUGGGGAUGGGCUCGCGGCCUAUCAGCUUGUUGGUGGGGUAAUGGCCUACCAAGGCGUCGACGGGUAGCCGGCCUGAGAGGGCGACCGGCCACACUGGGACUGAGACACGGCCCAGACUCCUACGGGAGGCAGCAGUGGGGAAUAUUGCGCAAUGGACGAAAGUCUGACGCAGCAACGCCGCGUGAGGGAUGACGGCCUUCGGGUUGUAAACCUCUUUCAGCAGGGACGAAGCGAGAGUGACGGUACCUGCAGAAGAAGGACCGGCCAACUACGUGCCAGCAGCCGCGGUAAUACGUAGGGUCCGAGCGUUGUCCGGAAUUAUUGGGCGUAAAGGGCUCGUAGGCGGUUCGUCACGUCGGGAGUGAAAACUCGGGGCUUAACCCCGAGCCUGCUUCCGAUACGGGCAGACUAGAGGUAGGCAGGGGAGAGCGGAACUCCUGGUGUAGCGGUGGAAUGCGCAGAUAUCAGGAAGAACACCGGUGGCGAAGGCGGCUCUCUGGGCCUUACCUGACGCUGAGGAGCGAAAGCGUGGGGUAGCGAACAGGAUUAGAUACCCUGGUAGUCCACGCCGUAAACGUUGGGCGCUAGGUGUGGGGGACAUUCCACGUCCUCCGUGCCGCANCUAACGCAUUAAGCGCCCCGCCUGG
rnacentral:rRNA from 1 species